rnacentral:rRNA from 1 species
UACAGAGGGGGCAAGCGUUGUUCGGAAUUACUGGGCGUAAAGGGCGCGUAGGCGGCCUGCUAAGUCGAACGUGAAAUCCCUGGGCUCAACCCAGGAACUGCGUCCGAUACUGGUCGGCUUGAAUCCGGGAGAGGGACGUGGAAUUCCAGGUGUAGCGGUGAAAUGCGUAGAUAUCGGGAGGAACACCAGUGGCGAAGGCGGUUGCCUGGAGCUUUGCUGACGCUGAGGCGCGAAAGCGUGGGGAGCGAUCCGG